AUCGCUUCUCGGCCUUUUGGCUAAGAUCCAAGUGUAGUAUCUGUUCUUUUCAGCUUAAUAUCUUGCGACAACUGCUUAGUCUUUCCUUUAAAAAAAAGAAAAAAACUAGU
rnacentral:snRNA from 1 species